CAGAAGCCCACACGGCCCCUCCUGCCCCACUGCCCUGCAGAAACGGGAACUGCAGAAGGAGAAGCGGCUGGGCUGUAUUUUGGAGCCGGUAUUUUGUCCUGUCACGUUCCUUCAAUGCUAGCCAGGUCCUGCCCAUUUCUAGGUUUUCUCCUCCUGUUUGGUGGGCUGCUUUGGUGGUGCUUCUGCUAAUCAAAACCCACGCUGGUUUUACCGAUUUGCUCAUGUGCCCAUUGAUGAAACCCUGGAGUUCGGAGCCCGUGUGUGCCCAGAGGUCCAGGCGGCCGUGGAAGAUGAGCUGUGACAGGGCCUGUAAAGCACUGGGCAGGGAAGAAAUGGUGGCUACAAGCCUGGGCUUGGAAUCGGGCAAAUUGGGGUUUGGAUUUGCCAUUCGUAAGCUUUGUCACCAAGAGCAACAAGUCACGUACCCUCUCUAAAUCUCUGUUUUCUCACCUGGGAAAGGGAGGUACCACCAGCCCUGUUCGGUGGUGGUUGCGAGUGUUGAGAAAAUGCACAGGAAGCAGGAAACGCGGUGCCUGGGAUGGAGGGGGCAUUCCCAGAACGGAAGCUCACGUUGAAUGUCUUCCCGUCUACUUCUGAGGUCAUUCCAGCCUUUGCCCUGGAAGGCUCUCUAGAGUUCUGACCCAUCUAAUGAAAUGACAGAUAAGGGUGUAGUGCUUUAAAAAUCGACCGUCUCCACGUGCUGAAUCCCCCCUGACCCUCAGCACCACCCCAGCAUACGACCGCGUAUCUCCUUGCUCUAGCUCAGGAUCCCAAGGCUCAGAAAAGUCUGCACCCAGCACAGCCAGGACUUCAACCCAGAUCCCACACCGCUCGUUCGUCUGCUUCUUACAAGAAGAAAGUGUUCUUUGAGGGCAUUCAAGUCAGCCAGAGAAUGACUUAGAACAGAGGGACCCAGCUCACCUUUCCAGCCUGGCCCGGGCUACAGUUAGGACUGCCAUGUCCUGAGGUCCGCAGCGUCUUGAAGGCGCAUUCUUAAACAAGUGUUAUGGGCAGAUACGGUCUUCUUGUGAAAUCCUCAAACCCCCAGGGAGGCUGUCUUAACCUGGCUUGCUCGUGCAAGAAGGGACUGGCAUUGUGCUGCCAUGAAAACAAUGUGCUUGCUUGGUUCCGCUCCUGCCACACAGGAGUCAGCCAUGUGGUUUCUUGAUUCACGGUUUCAGACUCCAAGUCUCCUAUCAGAUUUGGAAGGAAAACUACAAAAAGGCAAGCUUGCUUGAAAACAGCACGAAGUCUGCCGGUACAGACUGGAUGUUGAAAUGGAGACCCAUUCUCAGAGCCUGUGGGCCCAGAGACGCCGAGGAAGGAUUUUUUUUUUUUCCUCAAAAGGUGAUUAUGUUCAGGCUGGAGGUGGUGAACAAUUCUAGGUGUGUGUUCUGUGUGUGUGAGAAAGAACCGGCCAGAAAACACUCCUUUCAAAGGGUACAGGACCUUAAAAUGGUUGAUGGUUAAAAAUAGAAACGCCCCGAGUUACAGAAACUCAGCGCUUCCCGCAUCCUGGCCUAAAAAUACAGAACAAUCCGGUUGAUUGUCAGAGGUUGGAGGACAUGGAGGCACGGAAGCCUGCCCAUGUGCACGGACGACCGUCCUUCCUGGUCGUUGACUGUCUCUGAAAGACUCAACAAAGGAAGCAGAGACUUCUUCACCCCAGUUCAGGAGCCGGUCGCUGGCCCCCCGUUUCCCUGUGCACGUCCUGGAAGGAGAAUGAAGGGGCCCCUGUUGGUUUCAUCAACGAACUCAUUUUCAUCUCCUACUGGUGAACAGUGUAGCCUUCCCUGCAUCUUUUUUGGCUCGCCAGUCUCCUCCCAUAGACUUAUUUUUAAGAAACUGGCCUCGUGCUUUGGAUGAAGUUGUGAAAACAGAGGCCUGAGCUCGAGACCUCUGUUUCAGCCUGUUUUCAGUCAUUUCAGACUUACCAGCUCAGUAUCUCAGUUUCUAACCCAAAGGGCUUAAAACCUGCAGAGAAGUGUGUUCAAUGGCUGUGCUUACUAAGUCCGUCUGCUGGAAACGCCUUGGCAGACCACUCCCAGGAAGAGACCAAGAUAGACAAAAGAGAGUCCACCUCCCUUUGCUCUUCUGCUGAGGGUUUUGAAAAGCCGGAGUAAGGUAGAAUGCAGAAAACCUUACCAUAUCUGUUUCUGCUAAGGGAGUCAAACUUGACGUUCUGGACGGUCAUGUAUGGAACACAUCUGUGUGUGUAUGAAACACGUCUGUGUAUAUAUGGGUGGGAUGUGCAUUUGAGGUGGGAGAUACACAUGAUCUUAUCAGACAUAAGCAAAAGGAAGAAAUUCAUGCUUCAGGAAAAAUUGUCCCCGUAACUGAAGUGUCAGUCACUUGAAAAAUGCUUCCAACUGGUAGUAAGGAAAAGCUGUGACUAGUCACUUGUAAAAAAAUAAAAAUAAAAAUAAGCAGACCUUUCUGUUCAGAUUUUGGGUUUUUUGAACCGGUGAGAAUAAGCUUGCACGCAUCAGUCUGAUACUACGAAUUCUAAUAGCACACACGGAGGGAGGCAGUGGAUAUCUAAAUGAGUCACAAAAUUCACGAACUAGUUAUUGAAGGGUUGCAGGGGUUCUUCUGUCUCGGUACUUUUUCUUUUUUAAAAAACAUUUUAUUUAUUUAUUUGACAGGGAUCACAAGUAGGCAGAGAGGCAGGCAGAGAGAGAGGAGGAAGCAGGCUCUCCACGGAGCAGAGAGCCCGAUGUGGGGCUCAAUCCCAGGACCCUGGGCUCAUGACCUGAGCCGAAGGCAGAGGCUUUAACCCACUGAGCCACCCAGGUGCCCCUGUCUCGGUACUUUUUAAGGUUUAAAUGCUUGAAUUGACUCUCCGGUUGAAACAGGUGCCUAACCGCCUGUCGCUUCACAGAGUAGACGCAUUCCUUCACAGUCCAUGAGUGUAUGGCAGCUUCAUCGCAGUGAUGUCCUUGCUGUAUGUCCUUGCAAGCCCAUGGUGUUCAUUCUCUUACUUACAGAGGACGAGUCAACCAGCCCGGGACCAGGAGCGUCCUGAACAUCCUGUUCGGUGGAUAUUUUUCCUUAAAGGAGGAAGAGUUUGUAUUGGGAUCUCCUAGGAAGAGUCAGGGGCAAGAACUUUCGUCAGACCUGAGCCAAGCCCCCUGCCUCUCCUGACUCAGCUCCUGCUAGUUCUUCUCAUGCUCCUUGAAGAUGAUAAAUCAGGAGGACGCAUGUGGAAAGUCAAGAGGGGAAGCUGGGAAAUUUGGAGGAUUUAUUUAAGCCAAGAGAACAGACAGGCUCGGUGAAUGGUGUGCCCCGGAUUAGAACCCAUCUUCCCAAGGUGAUGCUAUCGUGAUAAAACCAAGGAAAAGUGAGGGGAACAUUUUAGGUGAAAAGACCGAGUGAGUGAACCCUGAUGGGAGCUGGGCUGAUGGGAAAAGUUGCAUUUGGCAUGGCUAUUAGAGGAUACCAAGAGUUGUUCAUUUUCUUCGUUAUGGUAAAGGUAUUAUAAUUAUGUAGAAGAAUGACCUCGUGUUUUUAGACCUGCUCAAGUUAGGAGCAGAGUGUUGGGAUGGUUGUCAGCUUGCUUUCAAAUAGUCCAGCAAAGAAAGAGGCAUAUUUCUUACAUACACGUAGCACAGCUAAAGCAAAAAUGGCAAAAAUGAAUAGUGGUUGAGUUGAAGUGGUAUGUCAUUUUUAAUGUAAUGCAUGUCUGAAGUUUUUCAUAACAAUUAAAAAAAUGAAUGCCUUUCUUCUUAGAUGGCCCGUGGCCUGGAUGCACGAAGUAUCUUCUUGGGUUUAGAACACUAAGGGGGAUGACAACAGUCUUCCUAAUAAAAGGACACUGGGAAUCCUAAUGGGAAGGAGAAAACUGGCAAAAAAUAACUUGCCAAGGAAAAUUGAGAGGUCAAGGCCUGACUUUUGGAUUGUAGAGGAGGAGACUCGUAAGUAAAGCGAACAAAAAUCUUUAACUCAUAGAUGUGGUCAAAGGAAUUCUAAUCUGGAAAACAACCUUAGGAUCUCAUUAGUGUCAGCCUGUGACUUUGCCUCUGAGCUAGCCUUUUGUCCUCCUUGGACCCUAAAAUCAGAGUAAACCUUUGAAUCAAACAAAACUAUCCCAAAGAGAAAGUCAGUCUUAAGAAAGGGUUUUCUCCCGUUUCUCCCAGAGCACCCGCUUACAGUGUGUCUUUCCAUGUACAUGGUCAGGUCCAUCAGCACCACGUCCUCGAGAUCUGCACCUGGAAGAGCUCUGCUGCUUCCCAUCAAGAGUAAAGGGGUUGACUUGUGCUCUUGGCUGUGGGUGACAACACAGAGCCUGCAUCUGGGCAGAUCAAGCGUAAAGAACCACAGGCGUGUGGCCCCCCCCCACCACCACCACCCAGCCACAGAUUUGGUGACAGCAGUAUAUGCCCACGUGAUUCAGGGAAGCUCCGUUCAGACCACAGAGUGACAUAGCCACAGCCACGUUUCAGCAUUUUCCUUUCUAGGUUGUCUGGAGGCCGUUACAAGAGCUCACUGUAAAGAAGAAAUAGAUGGCAAAACUUCUUCAGGAAGCUGGUUUCACAUGGUGGUUUAGAUUUAAAUAGUGAUUGUCUAGCACCAUUUGAAAUCAGUGUUCUUGGGGGAGACCAGCUGCACUGCAUGUGGUGAAGGGAAUGAAUGGGACAGCCCCGGAGUGCCUGAACGCAGAGCCCAGACAGCCACGGGAGUCUGCCUGAUGCGGCAGACACGCUGCUCACCCUCCCGGCCGUGGUGUCACAUUUAACAAAGCUCAGUAUACGGACGUCUUUAUUCUUAGUGCUUGUUUUAUGUAACCCUCCUGCAGGACAGACUCCUCGUCUGAGGGUCAGAGGACAAACGUAUGGUGGAUUUAUCCCUCCUUGGUCCCUCCUGACCCUCCCGUCCUCCUGUGACCCCCUUAGAGGAUGACUGAUUUCUUUUGGUGUUCAGAGUCAAUAUAAUUUUCUAGCACCAUCUGAAAUCGGUUAUAAUGAUUGGGGAAGAGCACCGUGCAGCCGAUGAAAAGAGAGAAAAUGUAUCAAUGACCUAUGAGGCCAUGAAUAAUAACCAAGAGAGUGGAAAUAAUGGAGCAGAAAUAACAGAAUAGUGCUUUGGUUUUUAAGUUAACUCUCACUGCCCUGAAUUGCGUGUGUUAUAAUGCUGAUAACUGGUUAACUGUUAGCAGAUGCCCAUCGUUAUAUUUUAGAGAAACUCCACAGAAUUUCUGAAGACUUUUGUUUGGAUGCUAGAUACCUAGAAAAAAAUGGAUAAAAUCAAAGACUGCCUCGGGUCAUUUGAAAAGGAGCAGCAAGGAAAAACAAAGCAACGUAAAACAAAACAAAACAAAGGCACAGCGAGGGAGUAAAUUUUGUUCCCCGUGGGACACAUGCGUGUGUGACCUCAUCUACGAACCCUCUCCGGCCUGGCGGGGAGCUCAGUUCUUGGUUAACCAGGUCACCUUCGUAAAAGGCAGUACCAGGCUCAAGCCGGCUAGAAGUUCAGUCUAACGAGGCACAGGAGGAAAAAUGGUACAGAGAACUAGGUUUCUGUGUCUAGGACAGAACUAAGUGAACACAGCUCCGUUCCGUCAGAAAACAAGGUCAGGGGCGCCAGAGGUGGUAUUCGGACUAUUCUAAAUUACAUCUUCUUACCAUGGAAGGGAAGUGGUGAGGUUAAAAAAAAACAGCCCUGGGUUUCUAGAACCAAGCAAGGCGGGGAGAAAAGGCUUUGGAAUGAGCUCCCAGGGCUCAUCCCUCCUGCUUGUGGCCACACGUACUGAGCCUCUGGCCCAGGGUCAGCCUGAUGCUGUCCCUCCCGAGUCUCCACGCAGCUUCCCAGCGACCCGGGCGGGGGCCACCAGGUGGAUGCCGGGACUCGCCUCUCUACCUUCCCGCCCUUCUCAUGCCCACUUCCUCCUGUUAACCUCCUCCUCCUUUGUCUGGGAAAGCACUUGGAAUCGGCAACCAAAACGUUCUACCACCCACAGGACAUGAGGUCAUGUCCCUUCUUCUUUUGCUGAGCUGUGGUUACUGUUUCCCCAAAACCCUCUCUGUUGCUUUCCUCCACGGCGCGCUCCUCCCUGACUAAGCUUGCCCGUGCCCCUCUUUCCAGUGGGGCUGGAUUUUCCCGGAACCCGAGCGCUAGCUACAGACCGUUUUCCAGAACUCUCCAUUGCCACGUUUUCAGGGGCUCCUAGAUAGUUGUACCUGCUAGUCUACACCUGGCUCAGUUUAAUAUGCCAAAGCCAUGCCCGUUCUCUCUCCGCGCCCUCCCUGCUGUAGCCCGUGGUUAAGGCUAGACCCCACAGACUUGCAGGACGGGUCUCGCUCGCUUACCCUGCUGCCCCCUGACACCCUCCUCACCAAGUCCUGUGGCUGUUCUCCUUCCACUCGUUAAAAUCCAUCCUUGCGGGGUGCCUGGGUGGCUCAGUGGGUUAAAGCCUCUGCCUUCCGCUCAGGUCCUGGUCUGGGAUGGAGCCCCGAGUUGGGCUCUCUGCUCACCGGGGAGUCUGCUUCCUCCUCCCUCUGCCUGCCUGUUUCUCUGCUUACUGAUCUCUGUCAAAUAAAUAAAUAAAUAAUAUAAAAUCCAUCCUUGGAAUACCUGGGUGGCUCAGUCGGUUAAGCCGCUGCCUUUCGGCUCAGGUCCUGAUCCCAGGGUCCUGGGAUCGAGUCCCGCAUCGGACUCCUUGUCCAGCAGGGAGCCUGCUUCUCUCUCAGCCUCUGCCUGCCACUCUACCUGCUUGUGCUCUCUCUAUGACAAAUAAAUAAAAUCUUUAAUACAAUAAAACAGAAGCCAUCCUUGAGCCGCCUCGGUGGCGUUCUCGUCCUACCUCCCACCGUCAGUCCCGCUUCUGUUUCUACCAGUUACCUUUCUGCAGCGCGCGCAACCUUGUCCCUUCUCCAUCCUUCGUGAUUCACACUCCUCUCCCGGCCUGUUCCCUGAGCUCAGCCAGCCCCUUGCCGCUGCUUCCCUUCCCAGUACCUCCAUAGUUCCAAGCGUGUGCGUACCCGGUUUCCCCUGCCUGGCCCUCUCCUCCGACCCACACUCCUCCUCCUCGUCCUGGGCGCUCCAGCUAAUUCUUCGCCCCUGGCUGGCGUGUGUGCAUGUCUGUGAGGCCUUCACUCGGUCUUCCUCUUUGAGGGUUAGAGCACUGGCAGGGGCUUCCUUCUCUGUCCUGAGAACCUGAUGGCACGCUCCACAUUGUCCUGUGGUCACUGACUUCCCAUGUCUUCCCUGCUGGCCUUUGAGAUCCUUGCGUUGGAGAGGGAUCGGAGUCACACACACUGUACGUUCCGUUCACAGGUUGCAGAUGUUCCUUCUUUAGCAAGUGUUCCUUCUGAGCUGUGCUUCCCCCUUUCAGCCAGUUCAGGGUCUCUCUCCCAUGGUCAUUUGCCAAAGGCACGGAGAACGAAAACUGCUCUCAGGGAUGUCGUCAUCUACAUUAAAUAGAGGACAGUAAAUGGGCUUCAGAGGGCAUGCAGCAAAUGUUUGCCGAGAAGGCUGCACCCAUUAAAAAUCAUAAUUUACAGCGACCGCGUGCCCACCGGGCAGUCAGCGCCCAUCACACCCAGCAGCCCUGCGAGGUGGGUAGUUCCCCCAAGUCGUAGAUGAGGAAGUAGAAGCACAGAAAAGUCACUUGCCUGGGGUUUCACAAUGCGUUGGCAUUUGAUUUGCAUUCUAAAUUGGAUAAUAAACAAUGACGAUGAUGAUAGCAGCCAACACUGAGCUCUUAUUUUGUUCCUUGCUGAGCAUUUUAUGUAAAUUAUCUAAUUUACUCUAACUUUCGAAAUAAAGAUAGGCAUUUAUUUAUGGGAGGGCGGUAUUAUAAUUAUCAUCACUCCCAUUUUGCAGAUGAGAAAAAAAAACCCACUAAGAACAAAGUCAUUUGUCCCCGAUCACGUAACAUUCAAGCUUUCAGGCAGGUGUACGAAGCCAGUUCCCGUGCUUUUAAGGAGUACUGUUGUCUUCAUAGUGGUUGAUGUAAUGACCGGCCUGCUGCUCUGGCCAGGCAGCCUCUGACGUGGCCCCCAUAGGUCCCUGCCGGCCAGCGUUCACGCCACGUGCAGUUCCCUCCCGUGGCGCGUGGGCUGGACCAAGUGACUUAAACUUCUCUUGGAUAGAACACGGGGAAGGUGAGGAGUCACUGCCAAGAUUCGGUUACGAAAGGGCUGAUCCUGUCACGCUUUUGUGUUCACUCGCUCUCUCUUUCUCUCACUAAGGAAAGGACCUGCAUGUCAGGAACCGCCCCAUGGAGAGGCCCAGGUGGAUAGGAACUGAUGUCUUGUCUGCCUAGUGCCACACGAGCUUGGAAAUGAACUCGCUCUCUCAGCACGUGUGGGGAUGACUACAGCUCCAGCCAACACCCUUACUACAGCCCUGGGAGACCCAGAAAUUGUCCCCUAAUAAAUGUUUUUCAUUUUAA